AGUAAAAGUCGUAACAAGGUUUCCGUAGGUGAACCUGCGGAAGGAUCAUUAAAAGAGAUGGGGGGUCCUUCUUCGGGCCCCCGACCUCCGACCCGAUGCUUACGUACCGUCCGGUUGCUUCGGCGGCGCGCCUACCUCUCGAGGGCCCGCGAGGGCGCUCGAGAGCCGCCGGCGGCUCUACCCCCUCCAUGUCGGGGAGAUCGCCGAGUUGCCGCCGAGGGCCCCUCGUUAGAUAAUCUCUGCAGAAAAUGACCGCUAAAAGUGUUCAGGAGACCCUCGAACGAGGGUGCAGCAGCAUCAAAAACUUUCAACAACGGAUCUCUUGGUUCUGGCAUCGAUGAAGAACGCAGCGAAAUGCGAAAAGUAAUGUGAAUUGCAGAAUUCAGUGAAUCAUCGAAUCUUUGAACGCACCUUGCGCCCAUCGGCAUUCCGGUGGGCACGCCUGUUCGAGCGUCAAUAUCAAGGUCAUUCAAGCGUUGCUUGGUAUUGGGCGCCCCGUCCUCUUGGCACUGUCGAGGACGUCCCCCAAAGAGUUUGGCGGCGGUCCGUAGCCCCUGUACGUAUCGGAAUCCACGGCAGAAAAGGCCACGUACGGGUAGCGCCUACGCAUCGUCCUGCCACCAGCUUGGCGGAGCCGAGCUGGUUCCUAUCGCGACUGACCUCGGAUCAGGCGAGAGUACCCGCUGAACUUAAGCAUAUCAAUAAGCGGAGGAAAAGAAACCAACAGGGAUUGCCCCAGUAACGGCGAGUGA
rnacentral:sRNA from 1 species